rnacentral:rRNA from 3 species
AGUGACGAUAGCCUAGGAGAUACACCUGUUCCCAUGCCGAACACAGAAGUUAAGCCCUAGCACGCCUGAUGUAGUUGGGGGUUGCCCCCUGUUAGAUAUGGUAGUCGCUU